rnacentral:rRNA from 1 species
UACGGGAGGCAGCAGUGGGGAAUAUUGCACAAUGGGCGCAAGCCUGAUGCAGCCAUGCCGCGUGUAUGAAAAAGGCCUUCGGGUUGUAAAGUACUUUCAGUCGUGAGGAAGGUGUUAAGGUUAAUAACCUUAGCAAUUGACGUUAGCGACAGAAGAAGCACCGGCUAACUCCGUGCCAGCAGCCGCGGUAAUACGGAGGGUGCGAGCGUUAAUCGGAAUUACUGGGCGUAAAGGGCACGCAGGCGGUUAAUUAAGUUGGAUGUGAAAUCCCCGGGCUUAACCUGGGAAUGGCAUUCAAGACUGGUUAGCUAGAGUCUUGUAGAGGGGGGUAGAAUUCCAUGUGUAGCGGUGAAAUGCGUAGAGAUGUGGAGGAAUACCGGUGGCGAAGGCGGCCCCUGGACAAAGACUGACGCUCAUGUGCGAAAGCUGGGGAGCAAACAGGGAUUAGAUACC